rnacentral:rRNA from 1 species
GCACAAGCAGCGGAGCGUUGUGGUUUAAUUCGAUGUUACACGAAGAACCUUACCUGGGUUUGACAUGCUAGUGGUAAUGAAGCGAAAGCUAAGUGACCCGCAAGGGAGCUAGCACAGGUGCUGCAUGGCUGUCGUCAGCUCGUGUCGUGAGAUGUUGGGUUAAGUCCCGCAACGAGCGCAACCCUUGUCAUUAGUUGCCAUCAUUUGGUUGGGCACUCUAAUGAGACUGCCGGUGACAAACCGGAGGAAGGUGGGGAUGACGUCAAGUCCUCAUGGCCCUUAUGGGUAGGGCUUCACACGUCAUACAAUGGUCGGUACAGAGGGUUGCCAACCCGCGAGGGGGAGCUAAUCCCACAAAGCCGAUCGUAGUCCGGAUCGCAGUCUGCAACUCGACUGCGUGAAGUCGGAAUCGCUAGUAAUCGUGGAUCAGCAUGUCACGGUGAAUACGUUCCCGGGUCUU